rnacentral:lncRNA from 1 species
AAGAAGAAACGAACUUAUAAAUAUCAAAGAUAUCAUUUGAGAUUACAUAGCAAUGGAGCAGCAAAGCUUUUGUGGUCUGAGAAGAUUUAAUGCCAAGCUCCCUGGUGCUGACCAAGGUUGGGUCUCCUAUUCCUAUUGCUGCUGCUGUUACUAAAGAUAAGCUGCACUAGCCAGAGACUGCACUGAAGCUGUACUGAUUUGGUCUUAUUGAUUGGAGAGCGAUUGAUUGGAGAGUGCAGACGUAUGCAGCAACAGGUUUGUCAGAUGUGGUGGUCAUUGCUCUUACUCCAGCUUUGCAUCCUAGAAUCAUUUGGAAGAUAUAUCUAAGAAAAAACAACUAAGACAAUUUAACACGACUGUAUUUGGAGAAAAAGUCCUUAAAGAGGCAAACUUAAAUAAGGCCAUCAGAGUGGGUCAUAGUCCAGUCAGACUGGGGUUCCUACAUGACAAGAUUAGGACACAAAGAGAGACACUGGGGACGCCCUUGAAGAGGGGAAAGACCAUGAGAAGACACAGCAAGAUGAUGGUUAUGUGCAAGCCAAGAAGCCAGGCCUCAGGAGAAACCAAACCUACAAGUAUGUUGAGCUUGAACUUCUAGCCACUACAGCUGUGAGAAAUAAAUAUCUGUUGUUUAAAUUGCCCAAUACUUUGUAUGGCAAGCCUAGCUCAUACAGAUAUAUUUUUUCUUUUAACACAGUAACUAAGACUACAAAUUCAUGAUAACUUUACAGGUGUAAUUCCAAGAUUCUCCACCCCUAACAGGCUAUUAAAAGAAUUGUAACAUAGGAUGAUGUUAAAGUAAUUCUCAUACAUUCACGAUAAUGUAUUCUUCCAUAUAAUGGGGGGUUAUUAGAUCAAGUUCUAAAGGUAAAUAUUUCCUUAGCAAUGUUGAAUGUCUUAUCUAUUGUUUCUUUUAUUAAGAUUUGUUUUCUGUAUCUCGCAGGAACAUUGUUGUUCUAGAUUUUAUAUUCAGGAUAUUGUAUUUCUGAAGCAAAAUGAUACGAAAUAUUGCCAAACAAAAUAAAAUAUAAAGAGUACUUGAACAGUAUUAUAAGAGAUAAGAUAAAGAAAGGCUACUGUUUAAAGUAGCCAAUAUUUUAAGAUAUAAUUCAGGUCCUAAAUGUUUUAUAUUACUCUCAGCAUAAAUACAUUGUCUAAACAUUUGCUUCAGGUUAAAUAUAAUUAUACAUGUUAAGUCUUUCUUGUUUAGAAACAUUAUCUCAUAUAAUUAACCAAAAUUUUACACUAAAAUUUGUAGCAUCUGUAAUAACGUUCUUCAGCAAAUUCCAUGAGGAUGGGAAUGUACUUCCAUUACUUCCCUCAGUUGUUAAGUAAACUCUUUUAGAAGAGUAAAGAAAGUGAAAAAAAAUUAUUCAUUGUGUCUGCCUAAUGAAGAAAAUUUAGUACAUUUUAUUUCACAUGUAUAACUGUUUCUUCACAGCAAAGGCAUUAUGGCUGAAAUUUUUUUUUACUUGAUAGGCAGUUUUAUUAGUUUUCAUGUAUAUAGGUAAGUGACCUGUCCUUUGUUUAAAUUGAUUUUGUUCAGAAAAAAGAAUUUCAUUCAUCUGGAUUUGCAAUGGUGGUAAAAUGAGAAAAAGUGUCCUAUAGAUUACCACAUUUUAAAUAUUUUACCUUGAAUCGUAAACACUUCACUCUAGUAGGUACUUUAGAACUCAGUUGUUAUUUGUCCUCUGAAUAUGAUAUACCUUUAUAUGAGAAACAGACUCCUAACUAUGUUUAUUUUUCAGUUUUUUUUUCUUUAAUAUCUCCUUGGAAAUAACCACAAUAAUCUGCCAUUCUAAAUAUUCACGAUCCUUCCAGUCAACAGUCACUCUUUAGGUUUAACCUUUGCUACUGGACAAAUAUUUCUUUUUGCUUAAUUGUGAUUAAUUAAGUGAUGAUAACUUCAAUUUCAAAUUGAAAUUUGACACCAAAUCAUUUUUUUUUCUUAUGGGUCUUUCCUUGGGUUCUGCAAAAUACUCUGCAACAGUCCUUCUAUUGGUCAGGCUCUCUCAGACAAUAUCCAGGCAUUUACAGAAGUUUGAAGAACAUGUUAACAUCAAUAUUAAAAACAGCAGGAGGCAGCUGAAUGCCUAGGCAGACAGGGAUGAGUCCCCAGUGAAACUCCACCUUCAAGCCAAAGUAGCCUAAAACCCACGGCCCAAAGUGAAAACUUCUAUUCCUGUUGCCUGCUUUCUCUGGAUUGGUUCUUUCUGAAUAAUGUCUUUUGACCAGUUGAAUGUUGCCUUUUCCAAAAAUACCUACAGCCUGCCCUGUCCCCAUCCUGUGCCUUUAAAUUCCCCAUACUCAGUUAGUAGAGUGGGCAGACAGUUGGACUUUGGGGAAGAGAGUUAGCUUGACUUUGGGGAAUAGACAACUGGACUUUGAGGAGAAGAUGACCUCACUUCAAGAAAGACUACCUGCCCUUCCCAUUCACUCUCCAGCUCCCCUCUCCACUGAGAGCCAUUUCCACUGCUCAGUAUGAUUCUCUGCCUUCACAAUUCUUCAAGUCCCUAUGUGAUCUCAUUCUUCUUGAACAAGGACAAGAGCUCAGGAUCCAAUAAGUGUGGGUACCCAGAAAGGCAGUCCCACCAGCCCUUUGCCCUCACCAAUGGAAGGCAGUCACCCCAUGUCACAAGGCAAGGGGCCAACUGAGCUGUUAACACACAGCCGUCGGAAGACAACGGAAUUAAAGGAGCAAUGUAACGUCCCUUUGCUGUUCUCAUGAGAGUGAAUGAUUUCUCAGGAGAUACAGUUGUUUAGAAGUGUGCGUAUGUUUAUUGCAGCAUUAUUCACAAUAGCAAAGACUUGGAACCAACCCAAAUGUCCAACAAUGAUAGACUGGAUUA